rnacentral:lncRNA from 1 species
GGUUGUUCCACCCUGGUCCCGCCUUCAUACCUCCCUUGAUCCCUUCACCUAUUGGCCCUCAGGUUAUGAAACCCCACCUACACUGGACUGUUUAAAAACCCUGGACCCUCCCCUGCUUGGGGCUCUUCUCCUGUCCCUGAGCCCUUCAGUGUGCUUGUUGUUAAAACAUCACUAGAACUUCAUACAGAGAGCCUCUCCUGCCUUUCUCUGCCAGCCUGCAAUCUACAGCUGGCAGCGCAAGCGUGCUUGUCUGGGCUAUCCACCUUCUCUGCGGGAGCCGCUCUCGGGAAGGUGGCUGUCCCGGCAACAUCUGCGGCGCAGACACAAGGAAUAGGUCACAUCUUCCCUUCCACUCGCAACUGAGGUAUCAGACUACUGCAGGUAACCAUUUCCAGUGGCUGAGUUUGACUGGAGCCAUCCAGAGAAACACGAGACAGCUUUUACAGUCCCGGCCUGUUCUCCCUGUGCUGCACUGCAGCAGAACUCCACCUGCUCCAUCCACCUUCAGAAGCAUUUACAUGCCCUAUGCAGAAAUGGAGACAUGCUAUCCCACCUCCAUUGCAAACUUUUCUUCUGCAUGAGGCACUGCUGGGGAAUUAAUAUCCUGACUUGGAUAUGCCAGUAUAUAUACAAUAUGAUUUAUUAGAGCAAUGAUUCAUUGAAAAGCACCUUGAACCCAUCAGAGAGACAGCGCCUUCUGUAACAGGUUUGACCUCACAAAUAAAUCACUCACUGCUGUAUUUGGAUAGAUGUGUGUGACGUGUCACACUAACAAAUAUACCCACUGGUUACAGAAUUUAAAACACCAAGUUUAACAAACCCACCAAAAGUCUAAAAAAUCCACACACAGAUGUCUCUGUGGCAGAACAGAGCACAGGAAAGUCCUUACUGUUCAUGCAGAGCUGUCAUCCCAUCACUGCCAGCUUAGGAAGAGACGAACUUAACAGACGGCUUAUUCUCAAAUGUAGGAUGUUUCAUCUCACCAAAAAUAAGCAUCUCCAGCACCUCCAUUCUCACCAAAAAAUUCUAACUAAGGUCAACUAGCCUGCAUGGUUUCAAGCACAAACUCACUGAUCUAGGUCUCACAACCCCUUUGAAUUCAGCCCAGAAUGAAAAAUAAGACUGAAGAAAACAAUCUCUAAAAUUUUCAACAAAUGGCAUUCAAUCUCAAGGAGAAAGAGGAGUAAUUUUUCCUCCAUUGGUAAACAUUCUCUCUUAGCUGUACAGUAACCAAACUACUUUUCCAUGUUUGGAGGCUGCAUGUCUAAAGGUGAAUUUGUUGUAUAUUAUGCCAUUUAAGCCAGCAUCUUCAAGAGCAAUAAAUUCACAUACAAAUUAUUUUUGUCAUUUUGCCACAACUGCACUAUCAGCCCCAUAGUGCAUCUGAAUUUUCUCUGACCAUAACCAACACUGAAUGCCUCACAAGUGAAACAGAAAUGCCCUGAAGUAAAGCAUCUGUUACUUUUAUAGUGAUUUGUAAAGUCACAAAUGUAGAUUUGUCACAAACCAAAUCUGGUUAAGGGUUGCUUCUAUCUGAUAAUUAUUGCAGUCCAACUCACUGCUAUCCUGAAUCCUGCUUGGCCAGGAUGAAUCCUGCAUGGCAUAAACUAGAGGAACGGGUACAAUGAACUUGCAAAAAAAUAAAGAAUCUUUAAUAGCGAAAUAAAAAAUGGAAAAACCUAAUUAUCUGAGGAGCAAGAGCCAAAGACCUGUGGGCACACCAAAUGCACCCAGGUACAGAGGUAUCUGAAGGCAAGUGUCCAGUCACGAACUCGGAACAUGACCUUAUUUGUAACAGGUUGCAAACUAAAAACAAAAACCAGAAACAUGACCUAAUCUAGAAUAGUUCCAUUAACAUUGACUCCCAUGACCACACUCUUCUCACCAUGACCCGACUAGGUGCCCUGCCUUCAGUAUUCUGUUUUCCAUGGCCUGAGGUUGAUGCCCUCUGUAAAUGCUACAGAGGAAAAAGUCCCAGCUGGACACGAUUCCAUAGAUAAUCUCACCUGUUACACUACCUUGUUACACAUACAGGCUGACAUAAAUCUUGUCAUGGAAAAAAACUGAUAACAUUCAAUUUAACAUUUUAAGAGAUUUCAGAUAAGGACUCUGGUAUUACUUCACCAUUCUUAUUCUUAGGAAGUGUUUAUCUUCAGAUCCCUACAAAGUAGGAAACCAUUCCAAAUAUCUCUUUGCAUCGUACUUUAAUUUUUGCUGUCUUUGCAGCCAUUCCUCCAAAUAUUUGGGUUUCAUCUCUAAGCUUGUUCAAACUGUAACAGACUUUUCCCUGUAUUGGCAGCGGUUUUCCCUCAGAGGGUUUAAGGUUCCUUUAGAAUACAAAGCACGCCAAACAUUUUCAUUCACCAAUACACAGCUAUGUUUUGAGAGGCAUUUAUCAAACAAGGUCAGAGUUUUGCCACAGCCAUGACAGACCCCACUACACUGAUCACUCUGCAGAGAUCCCAAGUGAGUGCACUGCUCCCAAAGCCCCAUUCUGAGGGUGCACUAUCACAGCAGUCACUCACUCACACAAACCCAGGGCAGCAUUUGUUAAAUUCUGCUUGAGGAAUAGCGGCAGACCUGCCCUGUAUUGGAUAAGUGACUCUUCACUGCUAUCAUCAAACCCAAAAGCGAGAGUGUUCUGCUACACAAGUGCUUUUUUCACCUAACCACCCUGUGGUGUUUGCUGAUGAGCAGGAGAAUUUCUUCCCACCUCAAGAAAGAAUUUCAAGUCAUGUCAGCUACAAGGCCAUUGACUCAGCUCUAGAGGUGAGGCCACUGCAAGUACCCCAUUCUCCUUUAGGUCUGGAGCAAAACCAAAGUAAAACACUGAGAAGACAUGAACUAGGAUUUUUAGGAAUCUACAUUUUUUGCUUUCUAACACAUUUGAGAUGUCUAAAUAUCAUUUCCCUGUGGACUGUGGAUUUGACUACACAGCUAUCCAAGUGUUAAACAAUUUCAUUUGCAAUUGGAUGCUGGUCUGUGAUUUUAUUUUAUCUUUUACUGAUGGGGCCCUCAACAGGCAAAGUCAAUUUAGCGAUUUUGUGAAGCAAACAAUAACUUGCAAGAGAUGAAUUCAAUUCAUGGUCCAGUUGAAGUGUUGGGUUUUCCCUGGUGAUCUCUCCACAUGUUUAAUGUGGUUGUGCUGUACUUGGGAAUAUUUCCACUCUUUCACAGCCUUCUUUGUUGAGAAUACCAUUGGUUAGCACCAUUAGUUCCCAGUGAUUUAUUUACUUUAUGUUUAUUUAACAAGAUGUGCUCUUUACGCACUUGUGUGGUGUUACAGCCCUGACUUGCUGCACACUCACAGCUUCAUCUCUGGUUUUGUUGAGAUUGUGAUCACAGGCACAUGGGUAACAAAGAUGGUGGACACUGAAGAUCUUAAUUACAGAGCCUGUUUUCCCCUGUUUUUUUCUUCAGGAGAACUAAUAAUAAUUUAUAACACAGACAGCUGGGGUUUUUUUAUGUUACCACAUAACUGUUAUGUUGUCACUGCAUUCAGUAAAACACAUCUAGUGAAAAUGCUUUCCGUUGAUGAGUUCAGGAGAUAAUGCUUGUUCUGUGUUAGCUGGAAAAUUACUGACAUUCACUGCAUGAGGAAUGCUGUUUCCUGAGUGCAUACUUCACCUUUUAAAGGGCUUACUGCAAGCUUGGCUGUAGGCUGUACCAUUACACACAGCUUUUGUCUUUCAUCAACAACAAUGGCAAUCAUCAACACUGCUCUGCAACUCCAGAGAUACUUCAGCUGCUCAUGGCCUCCAAGUGGUGAGAACAACCAGCAGUUUCUUGUUCCCGAGUUAUUCUGUGUUUUUCAUAGCUGGCUCUCUUUGUUCUCAGGAUGCUAUCAAAACAAGUAAAAUGCCCCAUCCAGGACUAAAAUGAAAAUGCACUCAGAAAUAUGUGGGAAAGGAAGAUUUUUAUGAAGACAUUCUUAUCUUUAAUGAAAAAUAGACAAAGCUCUAUUUGUCAUUUCUGUCUCUGUUUUAAUAUGCAUAUAUUGUCAACUGUUAGCAUAUCACAGCCAGCUACACUAUUUUGCAUUAAUAACUAACAAUGACAGUUACAAA